GACGAACGCUGGCGGCGUGCUUAACACAUGCAAGUCGAACGGAAAGGCCCUGCUUUUGUGGGGUGCUCGAGUGGCGAACGGGUGAGUAGCACGUGAGUAACCUGCCCUUGACUUUGGGAUAACUUCAGGAAACUGGGGCUAAUACCGGAUAGGAGCUCCUGCUGCAUGGUGGGGGUUGGAAAGUUUCGGCGGUUGGGGAUGGACUCGCGGCUUAUCAGCUUGUUGGUGGGGUAGUGGCUUACCAAGGCUUUGACGGGUAGUCGGCCUGAGAGGGUGACCGGCCACAUUGGGACUGAGAUACGGCCCAGACUCCUACGGGAGGCAGCAGUGGGGAAUAUUGCACAAUGGGCGGAAGCCUGAUGCAGCAACGCCGCGUGCGGGAUGACGGCCUUCGGGUUGUAAGCCGCUUUCGCCUGUGACGAAGCGUGAGUGACGGUAAUGGGUAAAGAAGCACCGGCUAACUACGUG
rnacentral:rRNA from 1 species